UGGGGAAUAUUGCACAAUGGGCGCAAGCCUGAUGCAGCCAUGCCGCGUGUGUGAAGAAGGCCUUCGGGUUGUAAAGCACUUUUGUCCGGAAAGAAAUCCUUGGCUCUAAUACAGUCGGGGGAUGACGGUACCGGAAGAAUAAGCACCGGCUAACUACGUGCCAGCAGCCGCGGUAAUACGUAGGGUGCAAGCGUUAAUCGGAAUUACUGGGCGUAAAGCGUGCGCAGGCGGUUUGCUAAGACCGAUGUGAAAUCCCCGGGCUCAACCUGGGAACUGCAUUGGUGACUGGCAGGCUAGAGUAUGGCAGAGGGGGGUAGAAUUCCACGUGUAGCAGUGAAAUGCGUAGAGAUGUGGAGGAAUACCGAUGGCGAAGGCAGCCCCCUGGGCCAAUACUGACGCUCAUGCACGAAAGCGUGGGGAGCAAACAGGAUUAGAUACCCCUGGUAGUCCACGCCCUAAACGAUGUCAACUAGUUGUUGGGGGAUUCAUUUCCUUAGUAACGUAGCUAACGCGUGAAGUUUGACCGCCUGGGGAGUACGGUCGCAAGAUUAAAGCUCAAAUGAAUUGACGGGGUCAUAGCUGUUUCCUG
rnacentral:rRNA from 1 species